UACGUAGGUGACCAGCGUUGUCCGGAUUUACUGGGCGUAAAGAGCGCGCAGGCGGUCGUUCAAGUCGAGUGUGAAAGCCCCCGGCUCAACUGGGGAGGGUCACUCGAUACUGAUCGACUUGAAGGCAGGAGAGGGAAGCGGAAUUCCCGGUGUAGUGGUGAAAUGCGUAGAUAUCGGAAGGAACAUCAGUGGCGAAAGCGGCUUCCUGGACCAGCACCGACGUCAGGCACGAAAGCGUGGGGAGCAAACAGGA
rnacentral:rRNA from 1 species